rnacentral:rRNA from 1 species
AUUGAACGCUGGCGGCAUGCCUUACACAUGCAAGUCGAACGAGAUCUUCGGAUCUAGUGGCGCACGGGUGCGUAACGCGUGGGAAUCUGCCCUUGGGUUCGGAAUAACAGUGAGAAAUUACUGCUAAUACCGGAUGAUGUCUUCGGACCAAAGAUUUAUCGCCCAAGGAUGAGCCCGCGUAGGAUUAGGUAGUUGGUGGGGUAAUGGCCUACCAAGCCGACGAUCCUUAGCUGGUCUGAGAGGAUGAUCAGCCACACUGGGACUGAGACACGGCCCAGACUCCUACGGGAGGCAGCAGUGGGGAAUAUUGGACAAUGGGCGAAAGCCUGAUCCAGCAAUGCCGCGUGAGUGAUGAAGGCCUUAGGGUUGUAAAAUCCUUUCACCGGUGAAGAUAAUGACUGUAGCCGGAGAAGAAGCCCCGGCUAACUUCGUGCCAGCAGCCGCGGUAACAC